rnacentral:ncRNA from 1 species
UGAAAAGCGAUGACAGAGAAGAGUAAGCAGUGCAUCCUUUCAGGGAGGGGACACCAUGACUGGAAGUGUUCCUAAGGAACUGGCUGCUGAAGUUCGCUCUGGAGCUGUCCCCUGAACGGACGUGAACGCGAGUAGGGGGAACCGGUUUGACCGUUAUCUCUGUAAGUGGAAAAGAAGGAGAAGACUGCCUUCUUUUCAAAAAGGGUGGUACCGCGAAUCUCUCGUCCCUUUG